rnacentral:pre_miRNA from 1 species
UUGACCGUCCGUCUUAUUUGAAAGAAUUAUAAAAAAAAUUAAAAAGACAAGUCGCGUAUAAAAUAUUAAUCAUGUUUUAUCAUCUAACAACAAUGAAAAUAUGAAUUAUAAAAAAAUUUCAUAUAAGACGGACAGUCAA